UUAAGCAAACCCUGAACGAUUAUUACAGUUUUCAUAAUACAACCCGGAAGACUUUAUUUUAUUAUAUUUUAUUUAUUCACCUAAUUUCUCCACCUAAUUUCUCCACCUAAUUUAUCCACCUACUCUUCCACAUCCACCUACUCUUCCACCACUACACUCUUUUUCCCCCACCACUACUCCUACCUCCCCACCACUACAUUCCAUAUUACACUUAGCAAGACAAAGCACACUUCAUUUUCUUCCUCACACUUCACUCUCGGCUCUCACUCAAUCUCUCUCACUAUACUCUCUUUUCCUCCAUUGAUGUCCAUUGAAGAAAGCUUAGAGAAGCUUCAUCAAACACUACUAUGAGAUAAUCCACCAUCCAAUCCAAUCAAAUACUAUCAUAUUUCAUCAAAUUCAAGAAGCUAGAGCUAAGAUCAAAGUUGGAGCAAAGUCUUGAUCACCUUUUAAAUCGUUGAG
rnacentral:lncRNA from 1 species